rnacentral:rRNA from 1 species
CCCUUAGAUGGUCUGGGCGGCACGCGCGCUACAAUGAUGCAUUCAGAAAGUCUUCUGACCUUAGAAGGUUGGGUAUUCUCCAAAGUGCAUCGUGAUGGGAAUAGUUUAUUGCAAUUUUUAAUCUUGAACGAGGAAUUUCUAGUAAAUACAGGUCAUCAACUUGUGUUGAUUACGUCCCUGCCCUUUGUACACACCGCCCGUCGCUCCUACUGAUUGAGUGUCUCGGUGAAUUCUUUGAUUCUCUGUCGAUUCAGUUCACUGAUCCGACGGUGGAAAGUUGAAUGAACUUCGUCACUUAGAGGAAGGAGAAGUCGUAACA